rnacentral:rRNA from 1 species
GACGUAGGGCGCGAGCGUUGUCCGGAUUUAUUGGGCGUAAAGAGCUCGUAGGCGGCUUGUCGCGUCGUCCGUGAAAACUUGGGGCUCAACCCCAAGCUUGCGGUCGAUACGGGCAGGCUCGAGUUCGGUAGGGGAGACUGGAAUUCCUGGUGUAGCGGUGAAAUGCGCAGAUAUCAGGAGGAAUACCGAUGGCGAAGGCAGGUCUCUGGGCUGACACUGACGCUCAUGCACGAAAGCGUGGGGAGCAAACAGG